ACGUUAGCGGCGGACGGGUGAGUAACACGUGGGUAACCUACCUAUAAGACUGGGAUAACUUCGGGAAACCGGAGCUAAUACCGGAUAAUAUUUCGAACCGCAUGGUUCGAUAGUGAAAGAUGGUUGUGCUAUCACUUAUAGAUGGACCCGCGCCGUAUUAGCUAGUUGGUAAGGUAACGGCUUACCAAGGCGACGAUACGUAGCCGACCUGAGAGGGUGAUCGGCCACACUGGAACUGAGACACGGUCCAGACUCCUACGGGAGGCAGCAGGC
rnacentral:rRNA from 1 species